AGUGAACGCUGGCGGUAGGCCUAACACAUGCAAGUCGAACGGCAGCACAGUAAGAGCUUGCUCUUACGGGUGGCGAGUGGGGGACGGGUGAGGAAUAUAACGGAAUCUACUUUUUCGUGGGGGAUCACGUAGGGAAGCUUACGCUCAUACCGCAUACGACCUACGGGUGAAAGCAGGGGAUCUUCGGACCUUGCGCGAUUGAAUGAGCCGAUGUCGGGUUAGCUAGUUGGCGGGGUAAAGGCCCACCAAGUGGACGAUCCGUAGCUGGUCGGAGAGGAGGAUCGGCCACACUGGAAGUGGAACACGCACCAGACGACUACGGGAGGCAGCAGUGGGGAAUAUUGGACAAUGGUCGCAAACAUGAUCCAGCCAUACCGCGUGGGUGAAGAAGGCGUUCGGGUUGUGAAGCCCUUUUGUUGGGAAAGAAAAGCAGCAGGUUAAUACCCCGCUGUACUGACGGUACCCAAAGAAGAAGCACCGGCUAACUUCGUG
rnacentral:rRNA from 1 species